UUCCCAAAUUCACACUCCAAACCCUUCGAUUUUGGCUCUGAAACAGGUGCGGUAGCAGAUUUUAUUUCCCUUAGGGUUCCGGCGAGCAGGCUGAAUUUCACACCAAAUUUCGGCGACCACCGCCGAAUAAAACCGCCGAGCACCACCAUCAAUGGGAAGCUAACUUCUCGAGCUUUGUAACGGUACCUUUUAUCAUCAAUAAUCCACCGUUAAGACCUCCGUUCAUUUAAUUCUUUGAAGAGCCAAAAGCUGAACUCCAGAUUACGGCCACCAUCG
rnacentral:lncRNA from 1 species